rnacentral:rRNA from 1 species
UGGGGAAUUUUGGACAAUGGGCGAAAGCCUGAUCCAGCAAUGCCGCGUGUGUGAAGAAGGCCUUCGGGUUGUAAAGCACUUUUGUCCGGAAAGAAAUCCUCUGGGUUAAUACCUCGGGGGGAGUGACGGUACCGGAAGAAUAAGCACCGGCUAACUACGUGCCAGCAGCCGCGGUAAUACGUAGGGUGCAAGCGUUAAUCGGAAUUACUGGGCGUAAAGCGUGCGCAGGCGGUUUUGUAAGACGGAUGUGAAAUCCCCGGGCUUAACCUGGGAACUGCAUUCGUGACUGCAAGGCUAGAGUAUGGCAGAGGGGGGUAGAAUUCCACGUGUAGCAGUGAAAUGCGUAGAGAUGUGGAGGAAUACCGAUGGCGAAGGCAGCCCCCUGGCAAGUACUGACGCUCAUGCACGAAAGCGUGGGGAGCAAACAGGAUUAGAUACUCUGGUAGUCCACGCCCUAAACGAUGUCAACUAGUUGUUGGGGGAUUCAUUUCCUUAGUAACGUAGCUAACGCGUGAAGUUGACCGCCUGGGGGAGUACGGUCGCAAGAUUAAAACUCAAAUGAAUUGAC